rnacentral:rRNA from 1 species
GCAUAUAGUAAGCGGAGGAAAAGAAACUAAAUAGGAUUCCCUCAGUAAUGGCGAAUGAACAGGGAUGAGCUCAGUAUGGAAAUUGGGGCCUGUGGCCUUGAAUUGUAGUCUGGAGAUGUACCACCAACUGGGGCGCAGAUGUAAGCCUCUUGGAAAAGAGCAUCAAUGAGGGUGAGAGUCCCGCUUGGCAUCUGCAGUCCCCAGUGCACGGUGUACCUUCUAAGAGUCACGUUCCUCGGGAUUGGAGCGCAAAUCGGGUGGUAAGUUUCAUCUAAAGCUAAAUAUAGUUUCGAGACCGAUAGCAAACAAGUACCAUGAGGGAAAGGUGAAAAGGACUUUGAAAAGAGAGUUAAAAGUGCCUGAAAUUGCUGAAAGGGAAGCGAAUGGAACCAGCGUAACUUGGCGAGAUUGCUGCGUGUCAAUGUGAUUGCUUGCUGCUUCAACGUAAGUGUUGUAGUAAGUCUUGAACAGGACAUGCGCGGUGCUUCUUGCCUUGUGUGUCACCGUCAGUUCGCAACUGGGGAAAACUUCAGGGACAUGGUAGCCUGUCUCCGGGUGGGUGAACGUGUUUGCUGGAACUCAUUUGCGGAUUGCUUGGUGACUAAAU